UAAAGCUGCCACUUUAGUUACCCAAUCAGUCCUGCGUUUGGGUCCUACAUCCUGCCUGCCACACACCGCACACCUCAACACGUUUAAUUUUACAGCUUCUUAGUUAUUAGAAAGUGCUGCAACUCACAAUGUUUUCUAAGAUGGUAAAACAAGAUGUGGCUGACUACUUCUACAAAGAUGGAGCUAAAGUGAUGAUAUACAUUUAGUGUUUGGACUUGGACACAUACAGUCUGUUUUUCCUUAUAACUACAUGUGAGUUCAAUUAACGUUUUGUGGGAAAAGGCAAUUUGUUUUUUAAAAGGAUUAUAGAUUUAAUUUCCCAACGGAACAUAUCAGUCACUGACGUUUGCUGGAGAAGCUGCUCUGCCUUUUUGUGAUGGAGCAGCAGCGUGAUGUACUGAAGACUGUUAAUGGGGAAGUGCUGAAGCUGAAGGCGUCUCUCUGCUGCUCAGACUGACGUUCAGUCGUCAUCCAGACAACAUGAAGACUGCAUCGGUCUCUCAGCUCCUCGGUGUGUGUGUGCUGCUGCUGUCUGCACUGACUGUUUCUGCAGUCUCUCUGACCGUCAGUCCAAACCUGCAGCAGUUCUUCACAGGAGCCUCAGUGUCUCUGACAUGUGAAGGUCAGCUGGGCUCUGAUGGAUGGACGGUGAAGAGGGACACAGGAAGUGGGACUGAGUCAUGUGGAGCAGGUGGGUGGGGCUUCGGGAGGAUAAAUGGGCCAUCCUGUUUGGUUGAAAAGCAAAGCAAGCCAAUCAGUGGAGUUUACUGGUGUGAAGGUGAAGCUGGAGAGAAGAGUGAAGAAGUCAACAUCACUGUAUCAGGUAAAGAAGUGAUCCUGGAGAUCCCUGCACUUCCUGUGAGGACAGGAAGUGAUGUCACUCUACGCUGUAAAAAGAAAACUGGUGGCACAGCCGCAGCUUAUUUCUACUUUAAUGGACGUCCUUUAAGACCUAAAUCAGAGAAAAACAUCACCAUUAACAUGCAGCAGUCUGAUGAAGGUCUCUACUGGUGUGCUACUGAUGAGUUUGGAUCAUCUCCUCAGAGCUUUCUGAGGGUCAGAGAUGUCUAUGACACCACCACCAUUUCAGCAAGUGCUACCAAAUCACCACCGCCAACAACAACAACAAUUACCAAUCUCAGUUCCCCUACAUCUUCCUCCUCCAUCAUCACACCUGCUCUGGGUUCUCUGGGUCUUCUGGAUCUUAUUCUGGUUGCAGCUUUGGUGUUUUGGAACAAAAAAAUAGAAAGGACGCUGUCAUCAAGUCUGAGUCAGGUCACCUAUCAGGAUAUGAUCUUCAGACAAUCAGCCAAUAAGAUUACAGUUACACACUCACAUGUUGUUUUCUCCAGUCUGAGGACACUGCAGUUCCAGGUACAUCAGGGCUGAGUUAUUGAUGAAGUUUCCCAGAUCAAAUUUAAAGGAGAAUUGGAAGAAAAGGAUUUUCUCUCUCCCAGAUCGAGCAGCUGUCCAGUCUCGUCAGCUCCCCUCUAAGAUUUAGAGCUUGUCCUGUUUUUCUAUAUGAAGGCCCUGGUCAUCUGUUUUUCUUGCCAUUACUUAAUAGUUCAAUAAGGAAAUCAGUGUUAAACUAGUUAAAAAGUGUACAUUCUGGGUCCAAAUGUCCAGCUGCCUUCAACUUUGAUGUUUGUUUUGGCCAAACCUUCAAGCCUUCAGUUUAUUCCUUUGUUUAAAUAAAAAUGUCUUGCUGACAAACUGAACCCUGGCU